UACGUAGGUGGCGAACGUUAUCCGGAAUUACUGGGCGUAAAGGGUCUGUAGGCGGUCUGAAAGGUCUGGCGUGACAGUUCUCGGCUUAACUGAGAGAGUGCGUUUGGAAACCGGUAGACUAGAAAUCACGUCGAGGUCGGUGGAAUUCCCGGUGUAGUGGUGGAAUGCGUAGAGAUCGGGGAGGAACCCCCUAAAGCGAAGGCAGCCGCUAGACGAUGAUUGACGCUGAGGGGACGAUAGCGU
rnacentral:rRNA from 1 species